AAGUCGUAACAAGGUUUCCGUAGGUGAACCUGCGGAAGGAUCAUUAUCGUAGGGCUUCGGCCCUGUCGAGAUAGAACCCUUGCCUUUUUGAGUACCUUUCGUUUCCUCGGCAGGCUCGCCUGCCAAUGGGGACCACAAAAAACACUUUGCAGUACCUGUAAUAGUCUGAACAAACAAACAAAAAUUAAAACUUUCAACAACGGAUCUCUUGGUUCUG
rnacentral:misc_RNA from 1 species